GGGGGUAUAGCUCAGUGGUACAGUGCAUGCCUAGCAAGCACAAGAUCCUGGGUUCAGUCCCCAGUACCUCUG
rnacentral:tRNA from 1 species